AACGAACGUUAGCGAGAUGUUUUAAGCAUGCAAGUCGAGCGGCAGCACUUCGGGUGGCAAGCGGCGAACGGGUGAGUAGUAGUUAGCAACUUGCCCUCCAGACGGGAAUAGCCACCGUAAUGGUGAUUAAUGCCCGAUAUGAGGAAACUUGAAAGGUGCGUUUGUACCACUGGAGGAUAGGGCUAACCCCUAUUAGCUUGUUGGUAGGGUAAUAGCCUACCAAGGCGAUGAUAGGUAGCCGGCCUGAGAGGGUGAUCGGCCACACUGGGACUGAGAUACGGCCCAG
rnacentral:rRNA from 1 species